rnacentral:rRNA from 1 species
ACGGGAGGCAGCAGUGGGGAAUAUUGCACAAUGGGGGAAACCCUGAUGCAGCGACGCCGCGUGAGUGAAGAAGUAUUUCGGUAUGUAAAGCUCUAUCAGCAGGGAAGAAAAUGACGGUACCUGACUAAGAAGCACCGGCUAAAUACGUGCCAGCAGCCGCGGUAAUACGUAUGGUGCAAGCGUUAUCCGGAUUUACUGGGUGUAAAGGGUGCGUAGGUGGUAUGGCAAGUCAGAAGUGAAAUGCGGGGGCUCAACCCCUGAACUGCUUUUGAAACUGUCAAACUAGAGUGCAGGAGAGGCAAGCGGAAUUCCUAGUGUAGCGGUGAAAUGCGUAGAUAUUAGGAGGAACACCAGUGGCGAAGGCGGCUUGCUGGACUGUAACUGACGUUGAGGCUCGAAAGCGUGGGGAGCAAACAGGAUUAGAUACCCUGGUA